rnacentral:pre_miRNA from 1 species
UAUAUACUACCUCCGUCCGAAAAUACUUGUCAUCAAAAUGGAUAAAAGGGAAUGUAUCUAGACAUAUUUUAGUUCUAGAUACAUCUUUUUUUAUCCAUUUUGAUGACAAGUAUUUUCGAACGGAGGGAGUACUAC